rnacentral:rRNA from 1 species
AUGGGCGUCGACUUCAGCCCGCACUAUGGCAUUGGUUUGCUCCUCGGUCCUGUCGUAAGCCCUCUCAAGAAGAGGAGUAGUGAGGUUUGGACCAUAUUUAUAUCGCUUGCCUCCGCCUGUACUUCCUGUACUAUGACCUCGACUCGUACCGCUACGCACCAUAGCUGCGGGGUGUCUCUUAUGCGAUUGCUUAGGCAACGGAGACGGCUGACGGGGCUGAGUUGGACGAGGAGGAGUGGCCUAAAGCUGUGCCGGACUUGGAGGAUGAGUGGCCUGAGGUUGUGCCGGACUUGGAGGAGGAGUGGACGUCUGACGCUGUGUCGGACUUGGAGGAGGAGUGGCCUGACACUUUGCCGGACUUGGAGGAGGAGGAGUGGCCUCACGCGUUGGUCGACUUGUAGGAGCGGGAGUCUGCUGACUCGGUGGCGGACUUCGACAAGGAGUCGGGUGACGCGGUGUCGGUGGCCUUUGAAAGAUGAUGCAAUCCUUUCUCUAUAG